AUCUCGCAUUGUUCAUGUGAUAGAGCAGCGUGUCCACAUCCGUAGUGAUGCAGAUACCUGUGAAAAACAAACAUUAGUACAACCAUAAUCCGGAUGGUGUGAAAAUCCAGACUACCGUGCAGGAUGAGAACGCUGCUAACAACAAGAGGCGCACACGACGAUUUCAAAUUAUGCUGCAAAGAUUUCCGUGGCUUAUAUGUCGAUUUGUUGGUCCAGUUUCGGUAGAAUUUUGCAGCAGCGUGCUGGACAAUCAAUACUCGUACGGAUUUGCGACACGAGCAACCGACAGGCCAACUGAUCGCGCAUGGGUUAAGCGAUCAACGUACCGUAGACGGUAGUCUCGUCGAGGAUGUGUACCCUUUUUUUGCAGAAACGUGCAAGAAACACGGUUAAGAACAUACGUAGGAAAUAGUGAACUUCUAUUAGGCUGUAGAGCAGCACGAUAGCCC